AGCCUCCCCGGCUUUCCUCCCCCGACUAUGGCUCGCACCCCACCCCACCUCCAGUUUGGGCUCUCCCAGGCUUAAGAGCCUGCCGGAGAAAAGGCACCUAAAUCUAAUGCAACACUGAGAAGCGGAGCCUCCAUCUUGCGCUGCUCCGCGUUCUCCAUUUUGGGCCACCCAUGGGGGGGGGGGGGGUCUCCGUGGAGGCCCCGAGGGAGAGUUGGGCGAGGGAAGGAAGAGAAAAUCUUCAGCGAGGGUAGUCGAAAAGAAGAGUCGUGCAGUAGAAAGCCACUCUAGGAGUAGGAGCGUCCCGGACCUUUGACCACCUAGAACUCUCUACGCGGGGGAGAAAAACUCGGGGAGGCCCUGUCCCCUCCGAAGCGCCGCUUUUCCUAGGACAGGAAGAAGUGACCUAUUACCGUGUCUCCAUUGCUGUUACAGAAGUUCCCAGGUUCCCACAAUAGUGUGUAGUUAAAGGCACGUCGUUCCUCUUUCUUUUUAAAAAAUUUUGGUUAGAGUAUUCCUUUGAUACUGAAUUACCUUUUAGUUACAAGAAAAGGAAUAAAUGUAAAUGUUACUGACAAAUUUUCCAAAUGAGAAAUAACGAAAGCCCCGUGUAAAUCGAGAUUUCACCCGAUAUCACCUUCAAAGCAUUCCUAAUGGAAUAUAAUGAUUAAUUUCAGUCCUCAAAAUAUAUUCCUAACACGCCUUAGUUUCUCUCCCA